CUUGUAUGGAGGAUGAAAGCAUACGGAUGUAAAUGUGGAUCAACGAUCCCAGCUAUCCGAGAGCGCUUUUUUCAUGUGGAUAGUUCCGCUGCCUUCCUGCUGAUUCAAAUU
rnacentral:snoRNA from 1 species